rnacentral:rRNA from 1 species
GCUUAACACAUGCAAGUCGAGGGGUAUAGUUCUUCGGAGCUAGAGACCGGCGCACGGGUGCGUAACGCGUAUGCAAUCUACCUUAUACAGGGGAAUAGCCCAGAGAAAUUUGGAUUAAUGCCCCAUAGUGUUAUAGAAUCGCAUGGUUUUAUAACUAAAGUUCCAACGGUAUAAGAUGAGCAUGCGUCCCAUUAGUUAGUUGGUAAGGUAACGGCUUACCAAGGCGAUGAUGGGUAGGGGUCCUGAGAGGGAGAUCCCCCACACUGGUACUGAGACACGGACCAGACUCCUACGGGAGGCAGCAGUGAGGAAUAUUGGUCAAUGGGCGCAAGCCUGAACCAGCCAUGCCGCGUGCAGGAAGAAUCAUCUAUGGUGUGUAAACUGCUUUUAUACAGGAAGAAACCUCCCUACGAGUAGGGACUUGACGGUACUGUAGGAAUAAGGAUCGGCUAACUCCGUGCCAGCAGCCGCGGUAAUAC